rnacentral:rRNA from 1 species
UCGGAGUUGGAUGAGCCCGCGUCGGAUUAGCUAGUUGGUAGGGUAAUGGCCUACCAAGGCGACGAUCCGUAGCUGGUCUGAGAGGAUGAUCAGCCACAUUGGGACUGAGACACGGCCCAG